rnacentral:lncRNA from 1 species
GCUCUGGCUCUCGAAUACUCCUUAAGACCAAUACCUGAGAAGUGAGCAAAGGGCUGGCUUAUAAGAAUGGAUAUUGAAAAAAAUGAAAUAGCUUACCUGAUUGUCUAAUUUCAAGACUCCUGCGACCUUGUGCCAACUUUCCUCAAAUCCCAUCCCUACUGGCCUAAGAUGCCUACUGGUCUAAGCUUUAUAUCUAUCCCACCGCUUUCUCAUAUGAAUAUGAGAAAAAAGAACUUUCUUUCACUGCCU